GCCACGCCCUGCGCCUACUUCUGCGCGGGGAUCAUGUCGUCGAUGGACUGGCCCUUUUCCAGCUUCUUCUCCAUCUCCACCAUAAGCUUCACGCCAUCCACCACCAGCUGCACCUGUUCGACUUCGGAUGAGCCCAGCCGAUCGGCGUUGGAGAUGUCGAACACGGCGCCCACCGCAGCCGUGUCCACGCCACCUGCGCGGGAGCAAACGCCACAGAGGCAUUGGACAGGGAGCAGAGGUGCAGGUACGACCCUGUGCCCAAGUGCAAACGUCUCGGAAAGUUGCUGUUCACAAGUCACCAGUUAUUGAUAUUAGGCCCUGUAUGCCUGGAUGUUAGGGUGAGGUCUCAGCUCAACAAGAAAUUAUAGCACAGGCCAGCGAAAUA
rnacentral:lncRNA from 1 species